rnacentral:misc_RNA from 1 species
GGCAGAACAAACACCUGCCAAGUAGACCUAGAACCUCUUCCAACUUCCCCUGCUGCCUCUUUCUCGUUGCUCCAAAUACAACGCUGCCACCUUCUCCGCUGCUCUUUCCUUCUCUUCAAACUUCUCUCAGGUUGGCUUUCUUUCUCUGGGGCUCCACCGGUUCUUCAACUGGUCAGUUCUGAUAAGAAUUGAAGAAUGAGAGGAAGUGUCCUGAGUAAGAUCAUGAGGUAUCUGGGAGAUGCAAAUCUUGCUCAAUAAUAAACAGAAAUUCCAACAAAGAGAAUUAUAGUCUUGGCCCCUGGUUAUAUCAGUGAGAGAUGGCAUCAUGUAAUGCAGAAACAAGAUCAUGCAAGGAUGAGGAGGAAAGAAAAAGCUCAAGCGAGAGGCAUGGUCCUUUGAGCAAGGUUAAUGUUAUAGAUUGUAAUUAUACAGAUAAAACUAGUUUAAUGAGAAAUGCAUCCUUGGAUGGAGAUAUGAAUGUAGAUCCUUCAACCAACAAUAGUUUAGGGUCAGAUGUCACAGAGUUGCAAUGUGAUUUGAAAUCAAAUUGUUCACAAACAAAGAAAGGGAAGAAGAGAAAGAAAAGGCCACAAAUUAAGCAGAAUGGCCAGAUAGACCGUCAAGGGGAUGGUUCUUCAAUAAAGGAUGAUUCUAUUGGAACAAAUUCAUGCAAUGAGCGUGGAGUUGAUACUAAUAUGAAGACAGAUUUGCAAAAACUUCCAAAAUUGAGUCGGUCACAGAAGAAGAGAAUGAGAA